rnacentral:rRNA from 1 species
UGGGGAAUUUUGGACAAUGGGGGAAACCCUGAUCCAGCCAUCCCGCGUGUGCGAUGAAGGCCUUCGGGUUGUAAAGCACUUUUGGCAGGAAAGAAACGUCAUGGGUUAAUACCCCGUGAAACUGACGGUACCUGCAGAAUAAGCACCGGCUAACUACGUGCCAGCAGCCGCGGUAAUACGUAGGGUGCAAGCGUUAAUCGGAAUUACUGGGCGUAAAGCGUGCGCAGGCGGUUCGGAAAGAAAGAUGUGAAAUCCCAGAGCUCAACUUUGGAACUGCAUUUUUAACUACCGGGCUAGAGUGUGUCAGAGGGAGGUGGAAUUCGGCGUGUAGCAGUGAAAUGCGUAGAUAUGCGGAGGAACACAGAUGGCGAAGGCAGCCUCCUGGGAUAACACUGACGCUCAUGCACGAAAGCGUGGGGAGCAAACAGG